rnacentral:rRNA from 1 species
CUACGGGUCGCACCAGUGGGGAAUUUUGGACAAUGGGCGCAAGCCUGAUCCAGCCAUUCCGCGUGCAGGAUGAAGGCCUUCGGGUUGUAAACUGCUUUUGUACGGAACGAAAAGGCUCUGGUUAAUACCUGGAGUUUAUGACGGUACCGUAAGAAUAAGCACCGGCUAACUACGUGCCAGCAGCCGCGGUAAUACGUAGGGUGCAAGCGUUAAUCGGAAUUACUGGGCGUAAAGCGUGCGCAGGCGGUUUUGUAAGACAGAGGUGAAAUCCCCGGGCUCAACCUGGGAACUGCCUUUGUGACUGGAAAGCUGGAGUACGGGAGAGGGGAGUGGAAUUCCGCGUGUAGCAGUGAAAUGCGUAGAUAUGCGGAGGAACACCGAUGGCGAAGGCAAUCCCCUGGGCCUGUACUGACGCUCAUGCACGAAAGCGUGGGGAGCAAACAGGAUUAGAUACCCUCGUAGUC